GGAGGCAUGGCUCAGGGAUAGAGUACUUGUCUAGCAAGUGCAACACCCUGAGUUCAAACCUCAGUACUGCCC
rnacentral:tRNA from 1 species